GGGAAACUGUUCAUGAACUCCGAGAAAGCCGUCUUGAGAGGUGGCUGUUAUCACCAUUUUGAAGAGAGACGCAGGGAGUCUUGCCCAAGAUCAUACAGCUGGUAAAACCGUAAGACAAGGUUCCAAUCCAGAUUUGCCAUAUGGACAAUGUAAAACAGCUUCACAGCAACUUGGCCUUUUGUGUGAAGAUCUCAUGACUCACUUGCCACGCUCCCUGCUUUGUAACAGCAAAUUGGACUGCGGUCACGGCAAAGAUGAAUCUGCUAC